rnacentral:rRNA from 1 species
UACGUAGGGUGCGAGCGUUGUCCGGAAUUAUUGGGCGUAAAGAGCUCGUAGGCGGCGUGUCGCGUCGGAUGUGAAAGCCCGGGGCUUAACUCCGGGUCUGCAUUCGAUACGGGCAGACUAGAGUGCGGUAGGGGAGACUGGAAUUCCUGGUGUAGCGGUGAAAUGCGCAGAUAUCAGGAGGAACACCGGUGGCGAAGGCGGGUCUCUGGGCCGUAACUGGACGCUGAGGAGCGAAAGCGUGGGGAGCGAACAGG